CCUACGGGGGGAAGCAGUGGGGAAUAUUGGACAAUGGGGGGAACCCUGAUCCAGCCAUGCCGCGUGUGUGAAGAAGGCCCUCGGGUUGUAAAGCACUUUCAGUGAGGAAGAACGCCUGGUGGUUAAUACCCAUCAGGAAAGACAUCACUCACAGAAGAAGCACCGGCUAACUCCGUGCCAGCAGCCGCGGUAAUACGGAGGGUGCGAGCGUUAAUCGGAAUUACUGGGCGUAAAGCGCGCGUAGGUGGCUUGAUAAGCCGGUUGUGAAAGCCCCGGGCUCAACCUGGGAACGGCAUCCGGAACUGUCAAGCUAGAGUGCAGGAGAGGAAGGUAGAAUUCCCGGUGUAGCGGUGAAAUGCGUAGAGAUCGGGAGGAAUACCAGUGGCGAAGGCGGCCUUCUGGACUGACACUGACACUGAGGUGCGAAAGCGUGGGUAGCAAACAGGAUUAGAUACCCCGGUAGUC
rnacentral:rRNA from 1 species